AACGAACGCUGGCGGCGUGCUUAAGACAUGCAAGUCGUACGGAAAGGCCCCCUUCGGGGGGUACUCGAGUGGCGCACGGGUGAGUAACGCGUGGGCAAUCUACCUUCGGGUCUGGGACAACCCCGGGAAACUGGGGCUAAUACCGGAUAAGACCACGGGAUCCUCGGAUCCAGCGGAAAAAGGUGGCCUCUCCUUGGAAGCUACCGCCUGUCGAUGAACUCGCGUCCCAUUAGCUUGUUGGUGAGGUAACGGCUCACCAAGGGCGACGAUGGGUAGCUGGUCUGAGAGGAUGAUCAGCCACACUGGAACUGAGACACGGUCCAGACUCCUACGGGAGGCAGCAGUCGGGAAUUUUGGGCAAUGGGCGAAAGCCUGACCCAGCAACGCCGCGUGAGGGAUGAAGGCCCUCGGGUCGUAAACCUCUGUCGGGAGGGAAGAACGGUUUCCGUUCGAACAGGGCGGAAGCCUGACGGUACCUCCAAAGGAAGCACCGGCUAACUCCGUG
rnacentral:rRNA from 1 species